AUUGAACGCUGGCGGCAUGCCUUACACAUGCAAGUCGAACGGUAACGGGCCUUCGGGUGCCGACGAGUGGCGAACGGGUGAGUAAUGCAUCGGAACGUACCUUUCAGUGGGGGAUAACGUAGCGAAAGUUACGCUAAUACCGCAUAUUCUGUGAGCAGGAAAGCAGGGGAUCGCAAGACCUUGCGCUGAUUGAGCGGCCGAUGUCAGAUUAGCUAGUUGGUGGGGUAAAGGCUCACCAAGGCGACGAUCUGUAGCGGGUCUGAGAGGAUGAUCCGCCACACUGGAACUGAGAAACGGCCCAGACUCCUACGGGAGGCAGCAGUGGGGAAUUUUGGACAAGGGGGGCAACCCUGAUCCAGCCAUGCCGCGUGAGUGAAGAAGGCCUUCGGGUUGUAAAGCUCUUUCGGCCGGGAAGAAAUCGCACAGGCUAAUACCUUGUGUGGAUGACGGUACCGGAAUAAGAAGCACCGGCUAACUACGUGCCAGCAGCCGCCGUAACAC
rnacentral:rRNA from 1 species